rnacentral:rRNA from 1 species
AUUGAACGCUGGCGGCAGGCCUAACACAUGCAAGUCGAGCGAGCGGCGGAGGGGUGAGUAAUGUCGGGGAAACUGCCUGUUGGCGGGGGAUAACUACUGGAAACGGUAGCUAAUACCGCAUACCAUCAGAUGUGCCAAGAUGGGAUUAGCUAGUAGGUGGGGUAACGGCUCACCUAGGCGACGAUCCCUAGCUGGUCUGAGAGGAUGACCGGCCACACGGGAACUGAGACACGGUCCAGACUCCUACGGGAGGCAGCAGUGGGGAAUAUUGCACAAUGGGCGCAAGCCUGAUGCAGCCAUGCCGCGUGUGUGAAGAAGGCCUUCGGGUUGUAAAGCACUGUCAGCGGGGAGGCGUUACCCGCAGAAGAAGCACCGGCUAACUCCGUGCCAGCAGCCGCGGUAAUAC